rnacentral:rRNA from 1 species
GUAGGUGGCAAGCGUUGUCCGGAAUUAUUGGGCGUAAAGCGCGCGCAGGCGGUCCUUUAAGUCUGAUGUGAAAGCCCACGGGCUCAACCGUGGAGGGUCAUUGGAAACUGGGGGACUUGAGUACAGAAGAGGAAAGCGGAAUUCCAAGUGUAGCGGUGAAAUGCGUAGAGAUUUGGAGGAACACCAGUGGCGAAGGCGGCUUUCUGGUCUGUAACUGACGCUGAGGCGCGAAAGCGUGGGGAGCAAACAGGAUUAGAUACCCUGGUAGUCCACGCCGUAAACGAUGAGUGCUAAGUGUUAGGGGGUCUCCGCCCCUUAGUGCUGCAGCUAACGCAUUAAGCACUCCGCCUGGGGAGUACGGCCGCAAAGGCUG